GCAAAGCAAACAGAAAGUUAGUAUCUAACAAAUGUUGGCUAAUAUUAUUAGAUAUUUGAUAACCAGAUAAACAAUUAUUUCUCAAGUGGAGUGUUAUAUUUUCGAUGCCACCACAAGGUGGCAUUCAAGAAAUUACUGAAUCACAGUAACUACCCUCUCAGUACAGACAGCAGGGAUGAAAUUUAUUGAACAUUGAAAAGUAGACUCGAGAUAGAAGAAAAUUAUUCCAAUAAUGGUAAGGAGGAACCCCAUGUCAGAUUCCUCUCUUUUCCUCCCAUAUCCUGUGGUAGCCUGCUUACUUACAACAACAUGAAGAGUCGUGGGGAGCUGGAUCCUGUCCUGGCAGCAUUAUGAGCUAGACACUCAUUUACACCAGGCCUAUUCAGAACUGAAAGUUAACUAAUGUGCAGAUUUUUUAUAUGGGGAGAGGAAAAAUCAUGCAGACACAGUGAGAAUGUGCAACCACUACAUAAAAAAUUGAUGGGAAUUAAAUCCAGCAUCCUGGAGUUGAGAAAACUGCAUCCUCUUGUUGUACUGUGCAAAUAAAUGUGGGUCAUACUAUCUGAAACUACUAAUAAGUGCUGAUGAUGAGCAAAAGAACAAUAAUUAUAGUGUUGGUGAAGGAAUGUGCAAACUGUAGUUAAAAAUAAACCCUCUGUCUAAAUGGGAA